UUGCGGGUGACUGCAAAUCUGAAGGAAGCCAUAGUCAAAGGCGAGGUAAUGACGUACAGAAAUCUGAUACAAGGCUGAACAGCGGAGGGCAAGCGAGCAACGGAUUGCGAACGCCCGAAAACCAACCGUAACCGCUCACAGUAAAUCAGGCGUUAGCCGCCGAAAGUGCCGGUGUU
rnacentral:ncRNA from 1 species